rnacentral:rRNA from 1 species
GACGAACGCUGGCGGCGUGCUUAACACAUGCAAGUCGAACGGAAAGGCCCUGCUUUUGUGGGGUGCUUGUGUGGCGAACGGGUGAGUAACACGCGUGUAUACUGCCCCUGUAUUUGGGAUAACUUCAGGAAACUGGGGAUAUUACCGGAUAGGAGCUUCUGCUGCAUGGUGGGGGUUGGAAAGUUUCGGCGGUUGGGGAUGGACUCGCGGCUUAUCAGCUUGUUGGUGGGGUAGUGGCUUACCAAGGCUUUGACGGGUAGCCGGCCUGAGAGGGUGACCGGCCACAUUGGGACUGAGGGACGGCCCAGACUCCAACGGGAGGCAGCAGUGGAGAAUAUUGCACAAUGAGCGGAAGCCUGAGGCAGCAACGCCGCGUGCGGAAUGACGGCCUUCUGGUUGUAAACCGCUGUCGCCUGUGACGAAGCGUGAGUGACGGUAAUGGGUAAAAAAGCACCGGCUAACUACGUG